rnacentral:rRNA from 1 species
AGUCGAGCGCUCUCUUCGGAGGGAGCGGCGGACGGGUUAGUAACGCGUGGGAACGUACCCAGAUCUAAGGAAUAGCCUCGGGAAACUGAGAGUAAUACCUUAUACGCCCUUCGGGGGAAAGAUUUAUCGGAUUUGGAUCGGCCCGCGUUAGAUUAGAUAGUUGGUGGGGUAAUGGCCUACCAAGUCUACGAUCUAUAGCUGGUUUUAGAGGAUGAUCAGCAACACUGGGACUGAGACACGGCCCAGACUCCUACGGGAGGCAGCAGUGGGGAAUCUUGGACAAUGGGCGCAAGCCUGAUCCAGCCAUGCCGCGUGAGUGAUGAAGGCCUUAGGGUCGUAAAGCUCUUUCGCCUGUGAAGAUAAUGACGGUAGCAGGUAAAGAAACCCCGGCUAACUCCGUGCCAGCAGCCGCGGUAAU